CAACAGGAGUUUAUUACCCACACACUGCAGGUGAAGUUAGACACUUCAGUUACCAGUCAAUGUAAGCUUAAGUAUUAAUUGACAACUCAGAAAAUGUACAACGAGUACAAAAUCAUUAACAACAGUAAAACAAAGUGCUGAUGUAUUAAUUUUUAAAACAUCAGUUGUACACUAUUAUACAGCAAACAUUAUGUGAUCCUCAACUAACUUGGGGCUUGCAUCUCAACUGUUUGGGUUUUUUUUUUUUUAAAUCAAGUUCUCCAAGAGGUUGAGAGACUGGGUUACAGCCUUACCUUACACAGACAAUGCUGGUUUGUAUUUUGUCAACUUCCUUUUAUCAGGGAAUGCAGUUAACAGGAAAAAAACCUAUACAUAAAAAAAAAUUAAGCUCCAAUACACAAUAUUUUAUAUAUAUAUAUAGGUAUAUAUAUUGUACUACAGAUUUCAUAUAAAUCAAGUGUAGGCCAAAUUUUGGCAUAAUUUUUAAGUGCAUCAAGUUUAAUACAAAAUCCCCCUCAGACUCGACUCUGACUGUUCCCAUUACUUUCUCCUGAACUGAUCUUUUUCAGUUUUGAUACUUUAGUCAUAUAGAAUUGUCUUAAGAGCUAAUUUCCAUUUCAGUAAUACCACUCUUAUCUUUCAUUACACUUUCUAACAAAAAUAAACUAGUUGGAAAAUUUAGUGACUAAUUUAGUCAAAGUUCAGUGAUGAAUAAAAUUCUCCAACUUGAUGUGAUUUACAUUUACUAGUCAGUAUCUCUAAGGUACUGUUAUCCCAUGUACCCCCUCUUCUCCUCUGAUCCUACAGGAACAGUUACUGAUCAUACACUGCAAGCACACCCUGCUUUCCUUUCUUUUCUUAUAAGGCCUCCUACCAAGCUGCAAAUAAUUUCUGGUGCAGAAUGGAGUGCAAAGAAAUUUUUCUAAUGCAUGGCUAAAUUUGCUUCAAAACCAGCAUGUGAUACUUGCUUUCCAGAGAACACCUAAAGUGCUUUAUCCUCUCUGCCACACAAUAUCACAUUUUGUUUCUAAAUUCGGCUUUCAUUGCCUUUAUUCAGUAUUGCAAGAAAAACUAUGUUAGUGACCCAAUUCAUCUAUCAAUUUGACAAAUAUAUCAUUUGCAGUAAAUUUUAAAACAGGCUUAUAUAAUUUUUUUCUGAAACAAAAGGCCACUUAAGUUUUCCUGUAGAAUGAAGUCUGGCAAGAAGUCAUUCAACUUCCUGCCACAAAAAAGUUAAGAUUCCUCAAAGUUGUUUGUAGAAUACAGAAAUAAAUUUUAUAACCAGCAAACAUUCUACUUUAGACCAAAGGGCCACUCAAGAACCAGUUACAGUAAGUUGAGUCACAAUACCCCAAGAAGCCAGUGCUCCUCUCAUUUUAUCUACUGACUUUAUUCUGGGGUCUCUUCAUUCAAGGAAUUAUGGUACAGAGGGCAAGUGUUAGAAAUGUGCAGCCAGUUCCACCUACAGAGAAUGGACUUCCAAGUUGAGCCCUUUAGCAAUCUUGUAAAAACAGGGCUAAGAGUGAUUUUAACAAGGAAAAUCCCCCAAAAGCAAGGCUGUCACAUUUAGAGCUGAGUCACUUCACACUCACUGAGCCUGCUCACAGUCAGGACGGCCUUGCCCUUCAGCUUCAUUCUCAGCCUCGUGUGGAAGGAACCAAGUGCAGAACUCCCAGCUAAGUUAGCAGGGGUUUGACAGCAAAGCCCCUUCAUGCCAUUGAAUUAUUUAAUAUCUUCUGUACUGUGUGUGAAAACUGGGGUUUUUAUUGAGAAAGCGAAUACUGAAACAGAAACAACUUUAAGCACAACAGAUGUGUUUACUUACAGCAUGCAAGUAUUUGUUUUUAUAUAUUUUUGCAAGUAACAACCCCUAAUUAUUUACAAGUUCAAAAUUACAAUCUUCACAUAAGUAGCAAUUGUUUACAGAAGUUCUGGACACUGUCUCAGAAAUAAGCAAAAAAUGGAGUAAAAAUACUGAGAGCAGUAAUUAAAAAAAAAAAAAAAAAAAAAACAAAACCAACAAAC